AGUUUGUACUGAAUCAAAUGCCUACUUUUGAUGGAAACACAGCUUAUUCAUUCUAUAUAAUUUUGCUUGGAAUUUUUAUUAUGAGCAUAGAACAUCUAAUUGCAAUCGUCAAAAGCUCAAAACUUGCGUGGGCUGGCCAGAGAAAUCCGUUGUGAAUCUUCUGAACGACUAUUCUACCUAUGGCAGUGGAUAGUGGUCGGAAAGUGACAGGGAUAAGUUUUGGGCUCCUCCACAUAGCUCGCUAGAUUGGACUCAAGUGUCUGCAAGACCACUUAUCUUCUCUAACAGAUCAGCUAUGCAUCCCCCUGCACCGGGACUGACAGCUCAUUCCCCUUCUGGGUGGACCUGUCGCUCGGCCCCCCUCCUUAGUGAACCGGCCACAUGUCUCCCCGGGCUGACUUCACAUCCCUCUAUGGUGGACUAGCCGAGCAUUUCCCCAGACUGACCUUGCUUCCCUUUCAACGGACUGGUCAGAUGUCCCUCCGAACUGAAUUUGCUUCCCCCUCAAUGGAUUGGCCAAGCAUUCCCCAGACUAACUUUACAUCCCCUUCGGUGGACUGGCCAUGCACCCCGUUCAAGGCUUAUAUCCUAGGUGUUCCAACAAUUUUAAUCUCCCAAUCCAAUUCAUCAGCAUUGAAAAGACUCAAAUCUAGUGAGGUUUUUCGGGAACCUCGUCAGAAAGGCCUACUCAAGGGACAAAACUUCAGCAGAUAACUUUCAAGUUUGGCCACAGGACAGUGAGAAACACUGUCGUUGGAUGGGAGGGACUCGUAAUUUUCUUUCGGGUUUGGUUUUCUAUGAAUGCCCUGUUUGAGCAUAUGGAGUUACUGACUUUUAACUUCUCGUGUGGAGCUUCUAUUCUUCCCAGUUUGGGGCUCCUAUGAACAUAAUUAGCUGCACCAUUCCUGUCAUCUUUUUUAUUGAAUUGCAGGCUUUUGUAUCUUUGGUUGGUUGGUAGGGCAACUGUGUUUUCGUUCUUUGCACCUUGAUUAUUAUGUUUACUGUUUCAAUGGUGCUCCAGUUCCCUUCCUUUCUCUUUCACAGCUGGUUCUUAACCACUGGGGAGACAAAAUAACAUGCGUCUCUCUCCAUCUUGCUCAACUGUCUUCUGUGCUCUUUCCUGUUUAAAGGACGAAGAACAGUUAUAAUUGCUUGUGUCAAAGACUUGCAGGAGGUUAUUGCUCUGCAGGAUUUCAGCGGAGUAUAUCAGAGCUUAAUCACUCCAACAUUCUUUCUUGUAUGUAUUCACCUUAGUUAGGUGAUGCAAUGGAUGUGUGGUGAUCUUUUGAAAAUUCGUUCCAUCUUGCGACAUGCUACAGCUGAUAUGCAGAAUCUAGAACGCAAUUUCAUCACAAGUUCAAGACUGCGAAUUGCCUGGAAUCUCACCUAGAAGCUCAUGUUAGUCCGGUUCAGGUGACUCUGGUUGCAAGGCAUGCUCGUAUACUUAAUGAUUCAAGCCUCUAGCUAUUCUUCAUGUCCAGUCUCAAUUUAAGUUUCUAGCUGGCAUGUUUAGACAUUGCAGGCAUGAAAGCUUGCUGUAAUUCUCUUCACUUCAUCCUUGGGGGAUUGAAAUUUUGAAAGCUCAGGUUGUAAACUGAAAUCUUGCAUGGCGUGAUUCUUCGUUCGAUGCCUCA